GACGAACGCUGGCGGCGUGCCUAACACAUGCAAGUCGAGCGAGUUCCUCACCUUCGGGAGUGAAGCUACCUGCGGACGGGUGAGUAACACGUGGGCAACCUGCCUCAUAGAGGGGAAUCUUUCUUCGAAAGGAAGAUUAAUACCGUAUCAUGUUGUAGCUUCGCAUGAAGUAGCAAUUAUAGGAGCAAUCCGCUAUGAGAUGGGCCCGCGGCGCAUUAGCUAGUUGGUGAGGUAACGGCUCACCAAGGCGACGAUGCGUAGCCGAACUGAGAGGGUGAUCGGGCACAUUGGGACUGAGACACGGCCCAGACUCCUACGGGAGGCAGCAGUGGGGAAUAUUGCACAAUGGGGGAAACCCUGAUGCAGCAACGCCGCGUGAGUGAUGACGGCCUUCGGGUUGUAAAGCUCUGUCUUCAGGGACGAUAAUGACGGUACCUGAGGAGGAAGCCACGGCUAACUACGUGCCAGCAGCCGCGGUAA
rnacentral:rRNA from 1 species